AGCUGGCCCGUAGAGCAGCUGUGCAUGGACUCUGGCCUUUCAGGCUGGGGACUGGGCCUUCACAGCCCAGUUGUUUUCCUAGCAACUGGUCUGGAAGGAUGCAGGACCUGGGGUAAGGCAUGCAUCCUUAUGCAUGAAGGCUCUCUUCAUCCCCGGAGCAUUGGAGAAGGAGUGGGCUGAGAGCUUUGGGCUGCUGACUCUCGUGGCAGCUGGAUGCUUCUUCAGUGCUGGAGGAGGGCAGGAAGGACACUAAACCACUCAUGCGAAUGGUCCCUACUCAGAAGGGGAGUAACCGGAAGGGAGCUCCGAGCCAAUGGCUGUCACAGGGCUGGCGAUGUCCUGCUUGUUCAAGAGAAAAUAAUUGAAGACCCAGGUGGAAGUAUCCAGUGAAAAGGAAACCAUUUUAUAUACUAGAAAAUCAGGGAUGGUUGAUGGAGGGUCACUCCUAAGAACGUGGAAAGAAAUAAGUUUCGAGCACAGCCUCAUAUGGGAAUAUGUCUAACCUGGAUUGCAUCAAUCUAUUGAGACCACUUCUUUGGUCCUUAUCUGGUGCCUCCUGUUGAUAUGUCUUCAUUUAUAUGAAUGAUUUUCAUCUUUCAAUAAAAUCCUCUUGAGAACCACA